CCUAUCAGCUUUCGACGGUAGGGUAUUGGCCUACCGUGGCAGUGACGGGUAACGGGGAAUUAGGGUUUGAUUCCGGAGAGGGAGCCUGAGAAACGGCUACCACAUCUAAGGAUGGCAGCAGGCGCGCAAAUUACCCAAUGAAAACAGUUUCGAGGUAGUGACGAUAAAUAACAAUACAGGACAUAUCAUGUCUUGUAAUUGGAAUGGUGGGAAUCUAAACCCCUUUCAGAGUAACAAUUGGAGGGCAAGUCUGGUGCCAGCAGCCGCGGUAAUUCCAGCUCCAAUAGCGUAUAUUAGAGUUGUUGCAGUUAAAAAGCUCGUAGUUGGAUUUCUGUCGGGUGCCGCUCGUCCGCCUCUUUUAGUAGGGGUGUGCACGUGUCUAUCCCGGCUUCUUUCCGGUUCGUCUUGGCACUUAAUUGUGGCAUUUCGUUGUCCGGAUCUUUUACUUUGAGAAAAAUAGAGUGUUUCAAGCAGGCUGUCGCCUUGAAUACUGCAGCAUGGAAUAAUAAGAUAGGACUUUGGUUCUAUUUUGUUGGUUUCUAGGACUAAAGUAAUGAUUAAUAGGAACAGUCGGGGGCAUU
rnacentral:rRNA from 1 species